UUGUAGCUCAAUACCUUAAAGACUCAGGCAGUUCGAGGAGACGGCUACUCGCCCAAUUCCCAGAAUUGUUUGGUCUCCCUCAUCAUGUCUGUUGGAUGUGAUGAAAAUUGCCAGUGCUCCUUCCCUUUGGCUGCAUGGCUCUCUCCAGCCUGGAGAUUUUUCUUCAGUGACAAGCUCAAGCAUGGUUUCUGGCUGUUGAGCUUUUUAGCUUGGGCCUUGGAAUGACUCCUUCAUGGAUUUGCACCAGAAAGAAAAAUGUC